GGAUGCAGGGCUGGGAGGUGAGGAAGCCCCGAAAGCUUCUUCCGUUCUCUUUCCCCAG
rnacentral:miRNA from 1 species